rnacentral:rRNA from 1 species
AUUGAACGCUGGCGGCAGGCCUAACACAUGCAAGUCGAGCGAGCGGCGGACGGGUGAGUAAUGUAUGGGGACUGCCCGAUAGGGGGGGAUAACUACUGGAAACGGUGGCUAAUACCGCAUACUCUCGGUUAACCCAUAUGGGAUUAGCUGGUAGGUGGGGUAAAGGCUCACCUAGGCGACGAUCUCUAGCUGGUCUGAGGGAAUGAUCAGCCAAACUGGAACUGAGACACGGCCCAGACUCUUACGGAGGAGGCAGGGGGGAAUAUUGCAAAAUGGGCGAAAGCCUGAUGCAGCAAUGCGGCGUGUAUGUAGAAGGCCUUAGGGUGGUAAAGUACUUUCAGCGGGGAGGCGUUACCCGCAGAAGAAGCACCGGCUAACUACGUGCCAGCCGCCGCGGUAAUAC